AGUCGGCCGGUCUCGGGGGCGAAUAGUGUGGCCACACUUUCGUCUCAUCGUGAUGAUGUUUGUGAUUGAUGGAAUGAUGUGGAAAGUGGGGAGAUAAAUUGACUGGCCAGUCUUGAAAAGUUUUGUGUUCUCGUGAUAUUUUUCUGCUAUCUAAAACUCGAGAUCACUGGUUGAGCAGGAUGUUGCGGAGGAUGUUGAGCUAGCCUUAGGAUGCGUCGUGUCUUCAUACAUAGGCGUGAUCCUUGACUCUCUCUUUGAACCUUAUUUCCGCUGCUGUGUUUUUCUGAACUAUGUUUCUUUAUCAUAAAUCUUUUCCGUACUAUGUCAAGCAUGUUUUGGUUGUGUUAGGCUUGAAACGAGUUGUUACAAUGUUACUUGAAAAUGAUGUUUUUCACAACUUAAACUAAAUGUUAUUUUCUUA